UAAGAUGCAAGCUAUAAGAUAUUUUCUUACUAGCUUAGAUAAACCAAUUAUGAAAAAAUGAAUAGUAUCUUGAAUUAGACCCGAAGGCUAGUGAUCUUACCAUGGUCAGGGUUAUAAAAGCCCGAACGGGUUAUCGUUGUAUAGAUAUCCGAAGAAUUGUGGUAAGUUAGUGAAAGACAAAACUGACUAGUAUAGCUGGUUUUCCGCGAAACCUAUAUGAGUAGGUAAUUUAAUUAACAUCUUAGCAGGUACAGAACUGUGAUCUCGGAUAAUAUCAAUUGAUUUUAUCAACAUCGGGGGGUUGUAGUGACUUUACUGGAGAGUUUUUGCACUCGGAAUGGCAAAGAUGAUUAUUGAAUAAUCGGACAUAGUGCGAUAAGGUUGUAUGUCAAAAGGGAAACAGCCCAGAACAAGAGUUAAGGUUCCAAAAUUAUUGUUGAGUGAAAUUAAGGAUGUUUUUUUUUAAAACAAUCAGGAAAUAGGCUUAGAAGCGGCCAUUUUUUGAAGACCUCGUAACAGAGCACUGAUUAAAUUAUAGGAAUAAAUACCGAAAAUUUAACGGAUCUAAAUAAUAUACCAAAACCUUGUACACAUAUUUUAAUAUUAAUAUUUAUAUUGUAUAUGUGGGGUAGCGGAACAUUGGAUAAAUAUUAUUUAUUAUUUCUUCUAAGAGAUAAUAACUAGGUAAUAUAUUAAAUUAUAUUUAAAUUAAAUUUAUUACUUAAUAUAAUCCAAGAGAGAAUGCUGACAUGAGUAACGAAAAAGGAAUAUCCUCGCCUUAAGCUUAUGGUAUUAUAUUUAAUUUUCGGUAUCUAAAAAUAUUUAUCAAAUGGAAAUUUUGAUGAUGUAUAUAUAUAUAUUAGUUUAUUAUAGUUUAAACCUAUAAAUCUUUUAUAUGUAAUAAUAACCUUUUAUAAGUAAUAAAGGUUCUGGAAAAAUUAAUUACUAAACUAUUUAUAAUAAUAUAUUUUUGAUAGAAAGGGGAGAUUUGACCCCUCUCGAUUUAAUUAUCAUUUCAUUUCUUGAAUUUCUAGUUAUGUAAUUCUUGUUUUACUUAUUUAAAAAAAAAAUAUUUGUAUUCAAGUAGAAUAUUAUGUAAUCUCUUUUAAAAAAGGGUAGAAAAAUAUUAUUUGUAGCUAUGUAUAAAGCAUAUGUGAUAUAUAUUUUAUAUAUAAUAUAUACAUAUAUAUUAAGAUUAAUCUAAUUAUAUAUACCGUACCUAGAUACUAUCACAAGUAAGCAAGUAGAGAAUACAAAGGCGUUUGAGUGAACAAUCAUUAAGGAACUCGGCAAAUUGACUACCGUAACUUCGGGAUAAGGAGGGCCAUUAUUAUAAAUUAAGUGUGAUAUUUAUUCUGAUAAAUAAAGUGCUUUUAAAAUUAAAUAAUAAGAGGAAACAUAAAAUAAUGUUGUACGACUGUUUAAUAAAAACACAGCACUCUGCUAAGAUAAAAUAUCAAUGUAUUGAGUGUGAUGUCUGCCCAAUGUCGGCCGGAUAACUAAUUUACCUAGGUUUUUAACUAAGGUUUUGAUGGAUACCCCGAUUAAUGGCGGCCUUACCUAUGAGGGUCCUAAGGUAGCGAAAUACCUUGGCCGUUAAAUGCGGUCCUGCAUGAAUGACUUAACGAUACAACAGCUGUCUCGAUGAUUGUCUCAGUGAAAUUGGAAUAGCAGUGCAGAUACUGUUUACCUCUAGAUAGACGAGAAGACCCUAUGCAGCUUUACUGUUACUAAUUGUAAAAGUUUAAAUUAAGGAUGAUUUCGAGUGUAUAAGGUAGUUGAUUGAUAAUAAUGAAACACCUUUAUUCGUUUCCAAUUAUACGCUUUUGAGGAUUAGAAGGCAGUUUAUGCGGGGCACAGAUCCCACAAAAAGUACCUGGGUAUAUCCAAAGUUCAUAUUGUAAAUUUGUAAUUUUAUUACAAAUAUUUUAAUUUGUUAUAUUUAUUUUUAUAAAUAUACAGUUAUUGUUGAAUUAAGUUUAAUUAUUUAUUUUAUUUUAAGUAAGAUUUUAACUAUAUGGUGAAUAGAUGUAUUUAAAACUUUAAUAUUUAAAAGUUUUUUGUCAUAUUAAUUUUGUAUAUUAUCUUUGUUAAUAUGAUGAUUAAUUAUACUUUAAAAGUUUAAUGGCUAAAUCUUGCUUUACUGUUUGACCUACAAGUCUAUCAGUCGCGUAAGCGGGGCAUAUGAUCACAAGAUGCAUUAAGGAAAGGUCUUGGAUUAUAGAAAAAGUUACGCUAGGGAUUUAUAACUGUGAGUCCUCCAAUAU
rnacentral:ncRNA from 1 species